GAUGAACGCUGGCGGCGUGCCUAAUACAUGCAAGUCGAGCGAACAGACGAGGAGCUUGCUCCUCUGACGUUAGCGGCGGACGGGUGAGUAACACGUGGAUAACCUACCUAUAAGACUGGGAUAACUUUGGGAAACCGGAGCUAAUACCGGAUAAUAUAUUGAACCGCAUGGUUCAAUAGUGAAAGACGGUUUUGCUGUCACUUAUAGAUGGAUCCGCGCCGCAUUAGCUAGUUGGUAAGGUAACGGCUUACCAAGGCGACGAUGCGUAGCCGACCUGAGAGGGUGAUCGGCCACACUGGAACUGAGACACGGUCCAGACGCCUACGGGAGGCAGCAGUAGGGAAUCUUCCGCAAUGGGCGAAAGCCUGACGGAGCAACGCCGCGUGAGUGAUGAAGGUCUUCGGAUCGUAAAACUCUGUUAUUAGGGAAGAACAAAUGUGUAAGUAACUAUGCACGUCUUGACGGUACCUAAUCAGAAAGCCACGGCUAACUACGUG
rnacentral:rRNA from 1 species